rnacentral:misc_RNA from 1 species
AAGUCGUAACAAGGUCUCCGUUGGUGAACCAGCGGAGGGAUCAUUACAGAGUUGCAAAACUCCCAACCCUUGUGAACAUACCCGUUACAGUUGCUUCGGCGGGCAGCCCCAGGGCGGGGCUGCAGCUUCUUCUCACGAAGCGCCCGCCGGAGGUAUAUAACUCUGAAUUUAUUGGUCUCUCUGAGUAAAUUUAUAAUAAGUCAAAACUUUUAACAACGGAUCUCUUGGUUCUG